UGGGACUUUUGCUUGAAUAACUCACAGGCUUUGUCUUCUUCUUUACUCCUUCAGGGAGGAGUGGCUUAUUUAACUGGUGAAUUUUGGAGAAGAAGUGGAGAAUGCUUACUUUCAGUCCUUCCUAAAAUUACUACUGGCACUACCUACAUGUUGGCCUGCUCUCUGUAAAACAUCUGCCUCAAUGGAUUGUUUUCAUACCAAGAGCCCACGACAUCAAUCAGUGCAUGUCACAGAGUAUAUAACCCUAAUGCUCAUCUCUUCUUUAGGUUUAAUGUUAUCUUUCAAGACCCAGGUUCUUCAUAGAUGUCAUCUCAUAUCAACAUGGAAGUUUUGAAAUUCUUUCCAUUGACCCAUUUUGAAGAUGAGUAAAUCACAUAUUUGAAGAUUAGGAAAUUUCCUCAAGACUACAGAACAUAAACCCACCCAGGUCCAUCUUGUGUCCAAGACUCUGGUCUUUCCACUACACUAUGUUGCUGAAGAGAGGAGAGGAAGGCAGGGAAGAAUGAUGAGGAGAAAGUGAGAAAUUAAAGGAGAAUAUGAGAAAGGAUGUGGGGUAAACAGGGAGCAAAGAGAAACAUGAGACAGGAGGGAAGAUCUACAGAAGAUGAGAGAAUGGAUGAGCAUGCAAGAGACAAAGAGAAAAGGGGAAGAGCACAUGGUGAAGAAUGGAGAUAGUCUUUAGAAAAUGGAAGGUUCCUGGAAGACAAAUGAUGGCAGUGAAGCAGUGAGAUGAGAGGACAUGGAUGGCAAGGACAAAACAUAAGAAAACUGGC
rnacentral:lncRNA from 1 species